UUUUGGUUUCUAAACAUCUAAUCAAUGGAUAAUUAGUUCCUAAGCUUCAAAUCCUUCUUUUACUCAAGAAUCUUGACAUGGAAAUUUGAGGGGUUUUCUCUAAAAUUGGGGGUUUUCGAUUAUUGAUUAAAUUAAUGCUUAUUUGGGUUUGGAUUGAUAUGAAACUUGGUAUUUGGAAUUUUUUUUUUAAUUAAUUUGCCCAAUUGGGCUUUUAUUAAUAAAUAAAUGUAAAAACGUAACAUGUCCUAUAGGCCCAAUUAAAACACCCAUUCCAAAGUCUAAAAUACAAAAUAAAAUAAAACAAAUAAAAGCAAAAAAGAGAUAAAAAAAUUGGAAGAUUGAAUUAGGCAACUCAUGACAUUCAUUUCGACCUAAGUUGCCUUUGUCUCUCUAGCUCUAGCUUCUCUCUAAAGUUGCCGCCGUUCCGAUGGGCUUUCUGACAUCGUAAGUAUGAUGAAAGCCUCGUCUGGUGUUCUUCCAUACCCGUUGAGGUUCUAACUCACCUCCUCUUCUUUGAAAGUUGAAGAUUGGCCUCCAUUAAGCUCAGGUAUGUUUCCAAAAAUCUGCUCUUCUGAUUUUAUGUCCUUUUCAGCUUCUAACUCCUGCUUUCUUGUUCGGUAUGAGUGGAAUUUGACUGCAUUUCCAAGAUCUGUGGCUUUUCUUUUCUUCAUCAUCUGAGCUCCAACAUACCUUCAUCUAAGUAAAAAGGUUCUAUAGGCUUCUCCUGUUCAGUGUCCCAUUUAACACUGGUGUCUUGCUCCUUUUCUCUAUUUGGACUGUCCUGCUGAUGUUCCCUUUCUUCAACUUGUAUCCCUGAUAUGCUGCUAACUACUGUAUCCCCUGUUUCUUUGGUUCCACCUUCUGGAAAAUACUGAAGGACUUCAACAAGUCCAUUGGACGAGCUUUGAAAAGAAGACAGUUGGCCCAUUGAUUCAUACAACCCAAUAAAGCUGUAGUAGAGACAACCAGCCCAAAACAAAAGAAGUCCUCACCAAGUAAAAUAUUCAACAAAAAACUGUACUCUACGGAAGGAAGAUCUCGGCGUGCCUACACUAAAUGCAGUCAAUCAAUGAAUCUUUUAUUUAAGGAAGCAUGUACCAAGGAACUACAUCAAGGAGAAGAAUUUAAGGAAGCAAUCAACUAAAGAUCCUAAAUCAGUAUCAAUCGAAGAUCCUAACACAAGGAAAGCUGGAAACUACAACUGGAGAUUCUAUUGAAAGUUGUCCACAAGGAAAGCUGCUUAGAAGACUUGAAGAUAUGAAAGUCAAUCAACAUUGAAUGCUCUUGCUUUAUUCUUGGAAAAUCAGGAUCCUCAAUAUUUCUACUUUCCAAGGAUCAAUUCUUGGGUUGCCUUCUCUGCUUGAAGAGCCAAACCGCUAUAUUCUGAAGAAUAUAAAUAGAGGCUUAAGCAAACGAAUACAUUUGUACUUCGUCUCAACCUUCUCACUGUCUUUGCUCUACAUUUCAUAAGCAUUAUAUUUUUGAGUGAUUUACUGUGUAAACAAAAAAAGAGGAGGGAUAUAAUUAUAGUUAGUGAGGCAUUUUAUCAAAAGAUUACAAGAGUCUAAGUGUUGACGUAGGAGCUUCAUCCAAACGAACAAUUGUACCAAACACCUUUACAAAAGAGCUGCAGAGAACACCCUUGCAACCCAACGGGACUGGACUAGGUUCCACAUUGGAUCCGAACCAGUAUAAAACAUUUGGUGUCAUUUACUUUUUGGAAAUAUACUUUCAACACUGCUA